rnacentral:rRNA from 1 species
UACAGAGGGUGCGAGCGUUAAUCGGAAUUACUGGGCGUAAAGCGCACGUAGGCGGCUUGGUAUGUCGGGUGUGAAAUCCCCGGGCUCAACCUGGGAACUGCAUCCGAAACUGCCUUGCUAGAGUAUGGGAGAGGGAAGUGGAAUUUCCGGUGUAGCGGUGAAAUGCGUAGAUAUCGGAAGGAACAUCAGUGGCGAAGGCGGCUCUCUGGGACGGUACUGACGCUGAGACGCGAAAGCGUGGGGAGCGAACAGG